AUGCUAGAGGUUCGUCUAGCUCCAGUGGUGGAGGAGGGUUCAAGAGGAGGUGGGACCGUGAGGCCUCCCACCAGAGGCCAGGAGAUAGGGGUAGGGGAGAGCAAUGACCUAAUUAGAUUAGGGAGCAGUGAGGGAAUUGAAAGAGAAACCUUGUCCAGGGGUGAUGUUUCUACUGGGUUGGUCAUUGGGUAUGUUCUUUCUUUUUUUGCUGCACUGUGUGGCUUGUGGGAUCUUAGUUCCCCAAUCCGGGAUGGAAACCGUGCCCCCGUUAUGAAAGCUCGGAGUUCUAGCCACUGGACCACCAGGGAAUUCCCACUGGGUAUGUUCCGAGAGUUGUUUUCAGUAUACAAGACAUGCAUAUAUUUUGUUAGAUUUAUCCCUAAGUAUUCUGUAUCUUUUGUUGCUAUUGUAAAUGGAAUUGUUUUUAAUUCCAAUUUUUUAUUCCAAGCUACUGUAUAGACACACAAUUUUUUUUUGGCCACAGGCAUGAACUUGAGAUCCCCAAUUAGGGAUCAAACCCUCACUCCCUGCAGUGGAAACCUGGAGUCUUAACCACUGGUCCACAAAGGAAGUCCCCAUAAUUGGUUUUUGUAUAUUAAUUUUUUUAUCUUGAAAUCUUGCUGAAAUUGCUUAUCGGUUCUAGUUAUUUUCUUGCAUUUGUUCUAAUAAUUAUCUCACUUCAGUCUCUGUUUAGCUUGUUCUAUCUUUCCUCCAACAUCUUGAAUGUAUGGAAUACAGUUUUAAAAACUUUUAACGUCCUUUUCUACUGAUGCUCUCUGGACAGUUUCAAUGGAUUUUGUUUCCUUUUCAAUAUGGGUUAUCUCUCUCUCCUUCUUCAGACACCUGGACAUUUUGGGUGGAUGCCAGACACUGAAUUUCACGUAAUCUGCUGCUGGAUAUCUUUGUAUUUCUGGGCUUCCCAGGUGGUGCUAGCGGCAAAGAACCCGGCUGCCAAUGAAGGAGACUUAAGAGACAUGGAUUUCAUCCCUGGGUUGGGAAGAUCCCUUGGAGAAGGGCAUGGCAACCCACUCCNNNNNNNNNNNNNNNNNNNNNNNNNNNNNNNNNNNNNNNNNNNNNNNNNNNNNNNNNNNNNNNNNNNNNNNNNNNNNNNNNNNNNNNNNNNNNNNNNNNCCUGGGUUGGGAAGAUCCCUUGGAGAAGGGCAUGGCAACCCACUCCAGUCUUCCUGCCUGGAGAAACCCAUGGACAGAGGACCCUGGUGGGCUACAGUCCAUAAGGUCGCAAAAGAGUCAGACAUAUCUGAAGUGACUUAGCAUGCGCAUCCUUGUAUUCUAACUAAUAGCCUUGAGCUUUGCUCUGGGAUGCAGUUAAAUCACUUAAAAAUGGUUCGGUCCUCUUGGAUUUUGUUUUAAAGCCAUCUUAGGCGGGACCAGAGCAGUAUUUAUUCUAAAUUAAUCGUUCUCCAGUAGCAAGGAACUUGGGCGCCUCAUGAACCCUGAGAGUCUCCCCUCUGGCUCUCUGAAAUGGGCUCUCUUCCAGGCGGGGGGCGGGGCUGCGUGUGCUCUGGGUGUUAUUCCUCCCUCGGAUUUUUGAUUGGUACCUUUCCUGGCCUCAGGUAGUUCACUUACACAAACAGGCUGAGUAAUACUGAACUGAGUAAUCAAUGGAGACCCUCUGCCGAGCUCCGGCGCUCUAUCGCUGUGCAGCCCUCUCUCUCUGCCACCCCCACCCCACCCCCAUACACUGGUCUGUCAAAUCCAGCUGUUCUGGUUUCCCCACACUCCCAGGAAUAUAUCCUCAAUUCUGGGAGACUGUGGGGCUCUGCUUGGCUUCGCUCUCCAUGUGGUGCAGACAGGACGCUCUCUCUAGACUGUAAGGGUGGGGCAAUGCUUAAGCUCACCUCAUUUGUUCUCCAUCACUCAGGGUUCUCGGCCCUUUAUUUUCUGAUGUCUUGUUGUCUUGAGAAUCAUUGCUUCAUAUAGACUGUUUCAGGCAUGAGGGUGAAUCUAGUCCCCAGUUACACCUCCUUAGUUACACCUUCUUAGAAGUGGGAGUGUGUGUCCACUCACUAGGCUCCCACACCUCCGCAGACUUUGUCAGGAUGAAAACUAGUCCUUCAGCUCCAGCUGGAUACAGUGGGGCUGGCUUGAUGGUUCAGUUCAGUUCAGUUCAGUCGCUCAGUCAUGUCUGACUCUUUGC
ensembl:lncRNA